GUUAUCAUGAAAGGCGGAGGGAAUAGACCCAGUGAAACCUUAGCAACCCUAUUCUAGUAGAAGGUGCUACAUUCUAUCCUUAAAUUCUAACUAAUUUUUGUUUAAAGUUUAAAAGGAGCAGAUAAC
rnacentral:ncRNA from 2 species